rnacentral:lncRNA from 1 species
CCCGCCGGUAGCCAUCUUCGUGCAUAGGCAAACUUAUUGUAGCUAGACUGUACAAAGUAUAUCAAGAUAUGCCAAAUAUUGAGCUUAACUUCACCUGUUUGAGAGACGUGUUGUGAACCACUUGUCAUGGGAUAACCAAAAUUAAACCUGGAAUCGCAGAAGAAACAAAUUUUUUGAAGAAAUUGGAUGUACUUUUUUAAAAUUUUUCAUUCAACUAAAACUUUGUUAACUGUUUCUUGGUUGUGGUCUUCUCUAAAUUGUAAUCUUUGGCAUUCACUUCCAAAGUAUCCACCACUAAACUUCAUAACAUUUAUUGUGUCUCUUCAUCAUUAAACUUUGAUGAAUUUACAGAGUGUCUUUUGAAAUUAUGUUCUUGAGAAAGCCAGGGGAUUGGACGGUGUCAUGGAAAUGUCAAAGAAAAAGUGACACCUGAGAGAAAAUUUGAAAGAUGAAAGAUGCACUAAAGAGGCCAAUCAGUCAUCCAGACAAGAAUUUACCUCAUGAGAGUCAACUGUGCGCAUCUCUUCCCAACAUUGUGAUUGGUUAUGUCAUGUUGAUAGCUUGAAAUUGGACAUAGUAUGUACAUUUACACCCCAGAAAUCUCAGGUACUACAAACUAAACCUUCCCUUCUCUCAUUCCCCAGUGCUGUUAAUACGGAAACUGGUCUAAUAUGGAAAACAGGUGAACAUGGAGCUGCUUUGUUUGACUCAGGGAUGAGAGAUACCCAGGUCCUAAUUACUUGUCUUUAACUUUCCUUAGGGAGUACUAAUUUGGGAGUCAUUGUUCUAAACAAUUAAAGUGAAGUAACUGUCCUGUUUUUCUCUUUUACCCUUGUGAACGAGGAAGCUCAGGGUUAAAGUCUAUGUCUUUACUUAUACAUUUCUGUGUUGUAGGAUCUUUUAAUAAAGAUUUUCUCCUUUUA